GCCCCCGUAGCUCAGUUGGUCAGAGCAGCCUGCUCAUAACGGGUUGGUCGCUGGUUCGAGCCCAGCCGGGGGCA
rfam:Elusimicrobia bacterium GWA2_66_18 gwa2_scaffold_303, whole genome shotgun sequence.